AUCAUGUAAAACAAAUUCACUUGCAGAUGGAAGUUUGAAUGCUGUACAGGAGAAGUACAAGUCACAAGUAACUGCCAGUGGAGUGGCUACGUCAAUGAGUUUGAUGGGUACUUGAAAUGGGAUGCCUUACCCAACUUCUACCUGGUGGGUACAAGAAGCUACCAUGACAAUGGAAAAGAGUAAGUAUACAGUAACUGUCCAAGUUGAAUUAAGGUGAACUCUGACGGAGCUCCUGUACUCCAACGAGUACCUCCCCCAGUUCACUUCCUAGUCACUUGACAGGACCCUGGAGCACUUCAGACCCAGGCACCGAGGCUUGACUAUAUAUUCUCUGGAGCUUUUCCACCAGACCAAGUUAAAGCUCUCCUUCCAAGUAGGUAUCGUCCCCUCUGCCUAUUCCUCUGCAGACCUUCUUCCAGGAAGGUAUCGUUUUCUCUGCAGCUUUCCAUCCAGGCAGGUAUGCACCUCUGCCUGCAAUGCGAUAGCUCUUGUCUUUAUAAAGACACUUGCGGCUCUCAGGCCGACCUCUCUUUGAUUUGUCCCACGACAACUCGGUGACUGGCAUCCCUAGAAAUCCACAUAGGACACACAGUUCUGAAAGUAACUAGCAUACACUUCUUUAUUUUUUUACUUGGAAAUAGCCCAUAUGAUCAUUAACCUAAGAUUGCUGUGACAACUUCUACAAAAUACAAAUAACCAGAUCAUAGACAACAGACAGCAACUUAUAACAACACAAUUACAUAUUCAUAAAGGAGUGGGGAAGACAAUAAUUAACACAAAAUAUAUAUCCUGCUUUCAGAAUUGACAAUAUGCAAAUCAACCUGAAUAUGCAUAUUAACAAGCCUUGCUAUUCAGGCAGUGCAGGCUCCAUAACCAAAUCCACUUAUUUGGUAACAAGCAUCAGCAGGACAGGAGAGCACACAAAACAAUUAACUAUAUAUAUGCUGGUGAGAUAGCUCAGUGGUUUAAUGCAUCAACACUUAAAUCUGUUUAACUCUUGGUUGCAGGUUCAAAUCCUAGCAGGGUCAACUCACCUUUGUAUACUGUUCACAUUGUAUUACCCACCUAGUUUUGUGUCAUCUGCUGACACAUGACCUUUAAAGCCUAUUUUAAGAUGAAUUAUAUAUAUGUUAAAUAAAAGCAGUCAGAACAGAACCCUGAGGGACACCAUUUUUAAUUCUCUAUACUCUGUCUUUAUGCCAAUGUUCUACCAAGGACAAGAAUUUUAUUUUAAGUUGAAUACUAGCCUAAUGUGUCAAACUGUAUAGAAUACCUUGGCAAAACCCAAGAGGAUCACAUCCACUGCAGCCCCCUGGUCUAUACUUCUUCUUACUUCUUCACAAUGUGCAGCACUAACAUUCAGCAACUAAAUGCCCUGCAUGCAGGCGCUGAAUGUUCCUCCCUCGAGAUGCCUUGAUUCAAUACAUCUUUAUGAGGAGAUGCUGAUUGGCGCAGAACAACAUUUUGCCAUGCUUGCGCAAUAAUCUCCCAUUGCUUUCCUAGUUUGAUGAUGUCAGCCAAAAGAGUGGCACUAGAAAAAAGAGUUUUACACUUUUUUAACCAGGAUUGAGGGAGCAGGGAUCUAAAUGGUGGUUUCAAUACUAUAGUAUCAGGAAUACAUGUACACACUAUAGUGUUCCUUUAAUAUUAUUAUGAGUCAUUUGAACUGUAAAUACAUUUUUAUUACAUACAUUCUUUGUUCUGAUUCUACUACUCUUGCAUCUCCACCCCCCUUUUCCUGUACUGAACCCCAUAUCUUCAUUUAGUAGACUUCUUAAAAAUUUUCUCCAACCUACUAGUCACCUGCCCCUAAAACAGCAGAAACGUGUUUAGGUACAACCCAUCAUGACUAUAGAGAUUUUACCCAAGCGCAAAACAGGUGCAGUGUGCUAAAAAAACCUAAACCCUCCUUCCUACACCAUGACUUUAGCCAUGGAUUAACCUGCUAAUCUCCUGCUGCCUUUUCACUGGCACAAGUUAUAUCUCAGCCAAUACCACCAGUUUGUUUCCUUAUUUCUUGAACUCAUUCUUUGUCAUCUCGGACGUUUUCACUGGUACCCUUGCAGAGCAUGACAGCUGGAUUAUCUCCAGUCCCUCCCAAUAAUUGUAACAGGAACAGGGUGCCCUUUCUUUGACUUUGGAUCCAGACCUGAACCUGCUAUUGCAUUUGUCCCUUCUUUAUACUAAUAGAGUUCAGGAGCUACCACAGCAACUUGUUACCUUAUGGCUACUCGCCUACCUGCCUGAGUGCAAUGCUCUCCUACUCCGAGUCCUCACCCUUAUUAUUAUUAUUAUGAUAUUUAUAUAGCGCCAUCAAAUUCCGCAGCGCUUUACAAUGGGUGGACGAACAGACAUGUAGUUGUAACCAGACAAGUUGGACACACAGGAACAGAGGGGUUGAGGGCCCUGCUCAAUGAGCUUACAUGCUAGAGGGAGUGGGGUAAAAUGACACAAAAAGGUAAGGAUAGUACUGGACUAGUGACACCAGGGAGAGUACCGAGUCCCUAUCACUCCCUCUCUGAGUAAUACAAGCAGAGAAAGUGAGAUUAAAAUGACAAUAUGUGUGUGUCUGUGGAUGUGUGCUAGUGUGUUUGUUUGUGAAUGUGUGUAUGAGUGUGGGUAUCUUUGGAUGUAUGGUAUUGCUUGCGUGUUAAUGAAUUUUUGUUAGUGUGUCUUUGUACGGUGCCUUGCAAAAGUAUUCACCCCCUUGGCAUUCUUCGUGUUUUGCUGCCGAACAACCUGGAAUUAACGUGGAUUGUUUGAGGAUUUGCAUCAUUUCAUUUACAGAACAUUCCCACAACUUUGAACAACUUUGGACAAAAUAACAGAAUAAUUCAAUGUGCAUAACUAUUCACCCCCCUAAAGUCAAUACUUUGUAGAGCCACCUUUUGCGGCAAUCACAGCUCCAAGUCGCUUUGGAUAAGUCUCUAUGAGCUUGCCACAUCUUACCACUGAGAUUUUUGCCCAUUCCUCCUUGCAAAACUGCUCCAGCUCCUUCAAGUUGGAUGGUUUACGGUUGUGAACAGCAAUCUUUAAGUCUGACCACAGAUUUUCUAUUGGAUUGAGGUCUGGGCUUUGACUAGGCCAUUCCAAUACAUUUACAUGUUUCCCCUUAAACCACUCAAGUGUUGCUUUAGCAGUGUGUUUGGGGUCAUUGUCCUGCUGGAAGGUGAACCUUCGUCCUAGCCUCAAAUCACGCACAGAGUGGUACAGAUUUUGCUCAAGAAUAUCCCUGUAUUUAGCACCAUCCAUCUUUCCCUCAACUCUGACCAGUUUCCCAGUCCCAGCUGCUGAAAAACAAAGCCCAGCUGCUGAAAAACAUCCCCACGGCAUGAUGCUGCCACCACCAUAUUUCACUGUGGGGAUGGUGUUCUUUGGGUGAUGUGAUGUGUUGGGUUUGCGCCAGACAUAGCGUUUUCUUUGAUGGCCGAAAAGUUCAAUUUUAGUCUCAUCAGACCAGAGCACCUUCCUCCAUACAUUUUGGGAGUCUCCCACAUGCCUUUUCGCAAACUCAAAAUGUGCCAUUUUGUUUUUUUACUGAAAACCACCAAAAUUCUACCAGGGAGUGUUUUUUACAUAAUCCUGCUGGUUUUUAACUAGGACGUUUCAAAACAUUAUUGAGCUAGGCUGUAGUAGUACCUCUGCAGACAGGUAAUUACCUACAUAACUUCUCUCGAGCACUAAUAACUAGAUUGACACGAACGUAUCAAACAGAGAUACAGACCAGUGGCAGAACUACUGCUGCACACUUUGGGAGCUCAUCGGGUGGCCCGUGCACUUCAGUGGUGGAUCCAGGGGGGGCAAUUCCCCACCCAAGAUUCUCCCCUGCCGGCUAAUGCAGGGCUGGCACUGUCCAAGUGCCAGCCCUGCAAUGUGCCUGUGGACUGGGGAGGAAGAUCAUAGAUCUCCCUCCCCAGUCCCAGGCACAUUGCUGGCAGCUGGCAGGGGAGGGAGGGAGAGAGGACCCGGGAGCUCAACCUGUAGCUCCUCCGGGUCUUACUCUCGCAAGCAUGGAGCGUUGCCGCGGUUACCACGGCAACGUUUCGGAUCUCGCGAGAGUGAGCGCUAGCCCUGGAGAUAUGGGCUAGAGUUCACUCUUACCACUGGGACCACCAGGGAUUCCCCACAGACCACCAGUGAUCAAGAAAUGUCCCCCCUCCUCCCUCAGUAAAGGUAAGAAGGAAGGGGGGACAUAAAUAUAUUUAUUUUUUUAAAUAAAAAAAGAAAACAUUAUUAAAAAGCCUCCCUACCCUCCUCCCCCCACAAACAAUGCCUCCACAUAAACACACUGCCCCACAAACACUGCUCCCCAUGCAUACACUGCCCCACAAACAUUGCCCCCAUACACACACUGCCCCAUAAACACUGCCACCCAUACACACACUGCCUCACACACACACACUGCACACCCAUAGACACAUUGCCCCCCACACACAUACACACAUUGCCCCACUCACAUACGGCCCCCCAUACACACAUUGCCCCACAGACACUGCUGCCCCCCAAUACACACAUUGCCCCACUCACAUGACCCCCAAUACACUCACUGCCCCACACAUACAUACAGUGCCCCACACACACAUACAGUGCCCCCAUACACACACUGCCCUCCCAUACACACAUUGCCCCCAUACACACGUACACUGCCCACCUACACACAUUGCCCCCCACACACACACACACAUACAAUGCCCCCCAUACACACACAUACAGUGCCCCUCAUUCACACACUGCCCCACACACACAUACAGUGCCCACAUACACACACAUCCCCAAACACACAUACAGUGCCCUCCCAUACAUACACUGCCCCAAACACACAUACACUGCACCGCUCACACACACACUGUUACUCUCACACACUCUGCCCCCUUCACAUACACACUGCCGCCCUCACGCACUCACACACACACACUCACUGCACCUUUCACACACACUUCACCCCUCACACAUACCACUGCUCCUAUGCCCUAUAUCCCAGCAGAUCCCAGGAAAGUUGUCAAACUGUUCUUAAAUGGUUUGACUACUUACUCUGGGAUGGGAUCCUGGCACUACUGGCACCAUAACUACUACACUGAGCUGUAGUGGUUAUUGUGCCUGGAUUAUUUCUUUAAAUAAUCUACAAGUGCCCCUCCCGAGAUCAGGCUCUGGAUCCGCCACUGGUGCACUUAGGGCCAAAAAGUGUAUUCAGGAGCCCGGUCAACACUGCAGCCCUUUAACAGCGCAACUGGGCCCCUUUGAUGAUGUUAGCACUCGGAGGUCACUUCCUUCCAAAGAACACAGAGUCACAUGGGAGGGAGGCGAAGGGGAGCAGUGUGGGAGAACUUCUGACUCCCAACAUCCUCAGCCAGUUGACUGGACUGCAGGAAAACCACCAUCCUGCACCCAAAAGGUAGGAAACGAAGGGUGGCUAAAAAAUGUCUUCAUUUUGAAUGUAUAUGUGCCUGUGCGUCUGUAUCUGUGUGUAUGUGUGUCAGUGUCUGUGUGUCAAUAUGUGCCCCUGUGUAUCUGUUUAUCAGCAUUUGCAUGUGUGUCAUUGUGUGACUGUGUAUCUGCAUGUGUGUCAUUAUGCAUCUGUAUAUUUUGUGUCUGUGUAAACGAAAAAUUAACAUACAGUAAUCACUAAAGUAUAUAAAAUAAAACAAAUAGUACAAGUGAAGCUAUUAAGGUAGAUAAACCUAUAACACUAAAUGGGUUGCAGAAUAAAAAAUGUAUUAAAGGUAUAUUAAACUAGGAAUUAAAAAAAAAUAGACAUAUAGGAUUAUCGACACAGAUACAAUAAAAGGUGAGUAAAAUGUUGAUUGACAAAUGUGAGUGGUAAAUGGAGGUGGCUGUGGGCUAAAAGAAAAGCGAAAAAACCUUAUAGCAGAAGUCUUAGGAACUAAAAUAUUAAAUAAGAAGACUAAAGCCUCAAUUGAUUCACCCUCCUAACUACUCAAAUAAAGAAGGGGAAAAACGAUGGGGAAUAUAAUAGAAAUUUACAACUAUAUUCGCCUAGAGAUACCAAUGGGCGGGGAAAUAAUCCCACUACUCUUGAGUGUAUACCAGGGAAUAGUUACAUCCCUAAAGAAGUCCCUAUGACUACCUUGGCGCAGCAAGGGCAGAGGGUGCACAUACAAACCUAUAUCUGCUGCUGCUCUAAAGAAGGGUUUUGUCCCCCUGUAUUGGAACAUCAACCCUAUCACAAAGAGCCAGGCUUUAAGCUCCAUAAAAGUUGAGAAGCCUUUCAUGUGUUUACACUAUAUUAUGCUUACCUGUACCUAUUACACUAAGAGCUUUCUGCUUGUCUUUUUGUAUUCUCUUUUUUGAGUAUACCUCAGUGAACAAUAGAAGAGGUUCUGAUGUAGAGAUUUGAGCCUGUCCCAAACUGGCUCUAUCCUAUGUGAGUGUAUCCAAUAUAUAAUUAUACACUCAUUUACUGUAUUAAAAGAUAUGUGAUUUAUUUUUAUUAUGGCAUACAUUAUGGCACUUAUUUUUAUUAUGGCACGAGAUAUCCCCAUAAAGGGGUAAGUACAUUUACUUACUAGCUCACCACUGUUUAGACUGGUGGCGGCUUGUGCCACACAGUCCAAAUGUUGAUAACCUAGGAAUAAAGAGAAUAAAGAACAAAAGUGAAGAAAAUAAGAGGUUUGAAAUACAAUAAUAAUGAGCUAUAUAUAAAUUAAAACAAUAGAAUGAAAAAUAAAAGUAAUAUUAAUAAAAAUAAAUAAUAAUACAUAUUAAACAAAAACAAUAUGAGAGGAAAAAUAGGCAAAUACAACCAGCAAAAAAAUUGAGAAAGCAAAGUGAAAAUGAACUUCAAUUAAAUAUCAAAUGAAUAUUCCAUGGUGUCAUUUACUUACAUUUUCUAUUGCUCAGCUAUUUCCUUUUUUGUUUGCUCUACUUAAGCUUAGUCACUUGUCAUUUAGACAUGUUAAAUUACUAGUGUAUUAUAAUAAGUGUAACAUUAGUAUAAUACAGAGCCUAACACAUUAUUACACAUUUAUUAUUACAUAUUAUGAUUAAAAAUCUCUUCUCAGGUUGCAAAUCCAUAGUUUCAUCUACAGCUUUAUACCAGCUGUUUCUGUACAGCAAUAUCAUGGCAAGCAUGGAAACUCAGAGAGAUUGACAUAUUUUUCUUAUUGUGUUACAGGGACAGACGAUGGCAAUACUAUUCAUGUCAAAAAAACUAAAAUCGCAAAGAAAUCAGCAGCCAUAGCAAGAACUAUAUUCCAUUCUGAUUGAAUAAAGGUUGUGUUCAAGAAUCAGUUUAACUAAUGUUAGUAAUAUUAUUAGCAACAUAGACAAUAUAAAAAUCAAAUGUUUGUAAUGUAAUAAAAAGGUUUCAGAAAGUGCAA